AUAGGAUGAACGAGAACGACAAAGACCAGUUCAGAGUCAGAUUGAGCUGCCUGUCACGCUCAACUGUGCUUCUGUGGAAGUAUUCCACUACAGCUUUUAUUUUUUGGACUGUGCCAUGAACCUCCCUAAGCCCAGCUCUAACAAUGAGAUUUAAAACAUGAGCAAAGCAAGGUAUGUGGUCCCAGUGCAGGUGGUCUUUCAGG